rnacentral:lncRNA from 1 species
UUUUGAAUAAUAUGAAAUCUUAUUUCAUAUCUAAAUAAACUCUUUUAUUUAAGGAAACAUGGAAUUCAAUUUCAACUCCAAUUAGUUAUCAUGGAAUCAAAUUCCAACUCUAAUUAGUUAGCAUGAAAUCUAAUUUUAAAAUUAAAAUAAACUCUUUUAUUUUAAUAUUAAAAUAAACCUUUUAUUUUAAGAUUAAAAUAAAUUUUUUUAUUUUAAUUAUAAAAUUAUUAAGAAUAUAUAUUAUAUAUAUACCAUAUAAUAUAUAAGUAAAACGUUAUAUAUAUAUAUAUGAUUCCAUGCAAGUAAUCAUUUUGAAUCCUGCUAUCCUUUUAAUUCAAGAAACCGUGCACGUGGAGCAGGAACAACCUCCUUUACAAAUAAUCAAGACACGGAACAACGAGAAAAAACAAACAGUACCGUUUUUUUUGUUUUUUGUUUUUUUAAAUAAAUUUUAUACAAUAAAAUUAUGCUCAAUUAAAUUAUUCUAAACACAUAUCAAUAUACAUAUUAAAUUAAAAUAAUUAAUAAUUUGCAUAAAGGUUUGACUCUGAUACCACUGUUAAGUUUGUAAUAUUCAUGAACGCAAUCAAAUUGCAAAAAAUAAGUGGAAACGUGUAAAAUCAGAGUUUUAAAAUUUUACAAACCAUAUAGCCGAAUCACCCUUUAUGCGCAAUUAUUAAUUAAACGAAAAAGAAAGAACAAGAAUCAUACCCUUGAAGAUCCGAGCUUCCUCAAGUACAAGUUCACCUCCAAUCUUUUUCGCGUUCAACUUGAAUCCACCGGGUUUGGUUCAUUCCUUUGAUCAACGUUAGCCACCCAAGUGUUUGGCCUCUAGAGAUGAUCCACUAAGAAAGAAUAGAGAUUCAAGAAGAUGGGUAUUUGGCAAAACCCUAGUUUUUCUAUCUCUCAUAGAAAAGAGCGUAUUCUCCAACCAUUGGAAUUACGUCUGUUGUUAAAAAGUCAACAACAACUCUACACCCAAAAUAAGACCCCUCUUAUUUAUAGAUGUGGGCAACCAUCCUUAACAAUUAAAGAAUUGAGUUUUAUUUAAUUAAUUUAAUUCUUUUAAUUAAUUAAGCUCCCUAAUCUUAUUAGGGAUAAUUAAUUAAACUCUUUUAACUAAUUUUCCCUCCUAAUCCUAUUAGGAAUAAAUGAGAGUACUUAUAUUAAAUUAAUUCCUAAACUCUUUUAGAAAU